AGAUGGUAUGAUGCAUGAUGUGAACAUUGUGUAUAAAAUUAUUGAUGUUGUCAGCAGUAAUACUAAAACAAAUCUACCUCAAAUAAAAAAUAUUGAAUACUUUUCAGAUGGUCAUGGUAAGCAACCUUGUGAUGGAAUAGAUGGUACAGUCAAAUGUUUAGCAACACUAGCAAGCUUGUAAAGAGAUAUGGAAGAUUUAACUUUGGCAAGAAACACUCUUAAGGAACUAUUGGGUACUGCAAAUGGAUCAUGUAAUUGCCAACAGUUUGUACCACUUGGCCAUCAAAAAAUUAGACACAAAGCUAUGCAGAUUUGAUGAAGAUUUUGCUUUCAUCCAUGACUUUGGAAACAUCCAUGUAACAACUGUAAACUUAGUACCAGGUGAUUACACCUGUGUUUCCUAUGAGCAAAAGUGGUGGAUAGAAGUCAUUGAAGACAUUAAACUAGAAGAAAAAGAUGUGCUUGUUCAAAUUUAUUUAUCCAAAUGGUCCUGCGCGGUUGUUUAAAUGGCCACCACUGGAUAGCCAAUGCUUGAUUUCAGAUGUCCACAUCAUUUGCAAGGUUGAUGUACCAAUUACAAAAACAGGACUUUGCUACUAUUUAGCCAAAGACAACUUGAAAAAAAUUGAUUUCUUUAGGAAAUAAACAUUUUUAUAUUUAAACUAAUUUCAAGUUUGCUGAGUCUGAUAUGUCUUAUCCAUACUUUUUUUAAUCUUUUAUUUUUUGUACAAUUUAUAAAUAAUGUGAAUGAAAAGCAUAUAUAAAAUCAGUAAAUUGAGUA